rnacentral:misc_RNA from 1 species
AGACGGCUCAUUGGACGAUACCCACCAGAAUGGGUCAUAAAGUCAGCAAUAAGUGACAAAUGCCGAGUACUGACAGAAAUACCAUAAGACUUGAAUACAUGAUUUACCUCUCUAAUAAGGGUUUCCCUGGCGGCUUCCACUCCGUAAGUUCUCAGCAUAGCAUGAAUGUUAUUGGAAUAUAGAUACCUAACAUCCAAUUGAUCUUGCAUUUGCCAGAAAGUAUUGAAAUCCACCCCAGUUGCAUGCAAUGCAGGAACCUUUCCUUUUUCUGUAGGCUUAAUAUCAACCCUUUCCUUCGGAUUUUCCCCAUAGUAAAUCACUUGAUUUUCUUUGCAAUCAGUCACUCGACAUUGCUCAAUCUUCCCAGGGUUCUGGAUAUAAACCUUCUUCGCCGUCUUCUUAGCAAUCUCAACCAGCAAAAUAUGAGGCUCAUUGAUGAAUUUAAAGUGGACCUCAAAGUGCAUUCCCUUGGCUUCCACAUAGAUUGCUCUAUCAAAGUCCUUUUUCACUAAUUUCGGCCUAUUCUUCUGCUUGGCCUUUUGUUUAUUCUUCUUAUCCCUUGACUUGGGUUUGGAAUGGAUUUCACCUGUGUUCUUUGAGUUGGGCUUUGAGGGCUUCCUAUGUAGUGGACUUUCUGAGGCUUCAUUGUCAAGCAUAGCAUCCUUUCUAAUGUCAAUCUCAUUAUCACCCUGGUCAAUUUCGCUUUCAAAUCCAGAAGACUCCUCGCUGGCUGUAGACUCCCCAUCAUUCAGAUGCUCCUCAAAGCCAUCGUCAUAAUCCAUCUCAUCUGUAGCUUGAAUCUUUCUUUUCUCUGCAUCUAAACCAAGAUCCUCGGCCCUUUCACCAUCAUCAUCAUCAUCAUUAUCCUCAUCAUUUUCUCCCUUUUGUAAUCUAUCUCCAGAAUAAUCUUCAUCUGCCUCACUUGGAGCCCUUGACCGUGAGUCUGGCAAAAAAUUUUUGAUGCCACUAAUUCUAGAAAGCAAAAGCAUAUGAUUUUGUAUAGCGUCCUCUAACUCCCUUACAAAAACAACCUCUAACGUUUCUUCCCAAUGUUCUACUGAUACAUUGGCAUAUUGUGGGUAGUGUGCAGGUCUGUAAAGCUUCAUCUUAAGCUUAUAAAUUUUACAAAUAUCACUAUCCUGAGUAGACAUCCGUGUAACAGAUACAUCCAUAUCCUCCACUAUGUCUGCCACAGUGAUCUUCUUCAAUUUAUCAGCAAGACACUCAGCAUCCUCCUUUCUUUGCCCCUUUUGCAGGGGACAGGUCAUAAUUGGUGUUUUAAUAUCACUUGAAGCAGUCAUCAGGAUCUCCUGGAGACGAGGAAUUCCAAGUGUGACAUUCAUUUCACCUCGCCCAGCCAGAUGGAAGGUAUUCAGAGUCAUCUGCGCUGAUGGUUCUCCUACAGACUGAGCAGCUAGCACACCAACUGGUUCUCCAGGCUGUGCAAGGCUCAAGAGGAACUUC